AAGUAAAAACGUUGAUUUAUCUAUGUAAUGAAUGUGGCAGAAUUAGAUUUUCGUGAAACGGAAAUCAUUUCUACAAUAGUAGCAAAUGAAUUUCCACGAUUAGCGUUGGACUCAAAAUUUAUUUUUUCAGCUGAAACAAUUUUUUUCUUAUUCCCUUCAUGAAAUUAUUAAUGUCCUAUAUCAUCUAUUUCCAUUAACUUUUUCUUUUUUCAAUAUUUAUCUUCAUUCAUCUUCAUUCAUUUUUGCAUGAACAUUUUUGUCGUUGAGAAAUUAAAAACAACAUUUUCCUCUUCUCGAAAUAAAUUAAAAAAUUAUAUAUAGGUAUAUUCAAGAAAGCAUUACCUAACAGGACAAAUGGACUGCGAAUAUGCUGUUUGAUCACGUAUAAUCGGCAAGUAUAAUCUUACAUAAUUAAUAUUACGUUAUCUAUACAUAAAUUGCUUUCUUCACAGAUGGACGAGGAAGAAGAAGAAGAAAAGAAAGAGGAUAGAAGAAACAGGAGAAAGAGGUCUAAGGAACGAAGUCGGAUAAAAGGGAAGAGAAAGGAGAAUCCGAGGCCGUCAACGUCGCAAAUUAAAAAAAUUCGAUACCAUAGCCAUGACUGGGAUGGCUGUCAUGGUAAUCGACGAUGCAGACGUCGCGGAGAAAGAAGAGGCAGAAGCGAGCAGUGGGCGGCAGGCGACGGGCGGCCGUCUAAUUAUUAUUUAUAUACCUAUAUUGAUAAUAUUUAAAUGAAUAAAUUGUAUAUAUAGAUCAAUUUA